CGGCCUCCCAAAGUGCUGGGAUUACAGGUGUGAGCCACCGCGCCUGGACUGUUCCAGUUUUAAACCUGACCGAUUAGCUAAUUAAUGCUUAGAACUAGAGGCAGGACCUUAGGCCACACAGUAGGUUCAUUUCUAGACUCAACUCUGUGCCCAAAUGGCACAACGAUCCUUAUACUGUUGGCAAAACCAACAACAUCACAUUAACAUGUA
rnacentral:lncRNA from 10 species